UCUCACGCUCAUUCUCUCCAUCCUCUUUCUCUCUCUCUACGCAUCCUCUCAUCUCCUCUCUCUCUCUCGCUAUCUCUCUCUCCACCGAUCUAUCUCCACCGAUCUCCAUCGAGAAACGCCGCCACCGAUCUCCAUCGACGCCGCCAUCUAUCUCCACCGAUCUCAUCUCCACCGCCUUCAUCUCCAUCGACGUCGUUGUCUAUCUCCACCGCCUUCAUCUCCAUCAACGUCGUCGCCUUCAUCUCCAUCGAUGUCGCCGUCUAUCUUCACCGCCUUCAUCUCCAUCGACGCCGCCGUCUAUCUCCACCGCCUUCAUCUCCACUGCCGCCUAUCUCUUCAACCUGCGGCUAGAUCUCAUCGGCGAUUCUCUCAAAAAAAUUCGAUGAUUUCUGGGAUUUAGGGCUGGUUGGUUUAAGGGUUUUUGAGGUGGCAUAGGAUUUCGAUUGUUGAAGGGAAGAAAGUGGUGAAAGGGAGAGGCAGAUUCGACCAGAUAAUUUAGCUUUGUUUUUGUUGGCAAUUUGAACUAAUCGAAUUGAUCUUUCUUGGAUUAGAAUAUUGGCAAUCACGCACAAUUUUGUUGAAAAUUUGAUGUGUGGUUCUUUUUUGUAAUUUGUUUUGGCUGACAAUUUUGGGUAAUUGAUGAUCUGUAUAUAUAAAUGAAUGAUAGCAGAUUAUUUAGGUACGAUUUGAUGACUGCGGUCUGAGACGAAGCAGAGAUUGUAGAUUGAAAGAGAAAAAGAUUUUGUAUAAUCAAUUAAUGUUCUUACAGUUAGAUCUAUGAAUUCACAACUUAAUUUCUUGAAUUCACGACCACAUCUAUGAAUUCACA
rnacentral:lncRNA from 1 species